rnacentral:rRNA from 2 species
UCUGAUGGAGCACGCCGCGUGAGUGAAGAAGGGUUUCGGCUCGUAAAACUCUGUUGUUAGAGAAGAACAGCCGUGAGAGCAACUGCUCACGGUAUGACGGUAUCUAACCAGAAAGUCACGGCUAACUACGUGCCAGCAGCCGCGGUAAUACGUAGGUGGCAAACGUUGUCCGGAUUUAUUGGGCGUAAAGGGAGCGCAGGCGGUUUAUUAAGUCUGAUGUGAAAGCCUUCGGCUUAACCGGAGAAGUGCAUCGGAAACUGAUAAACUUGAGUGCAGAAAAGGAUAGUGGAACUUCAUGUGUAGCGGUGAAAUGCGUAGAUAUAUGAAGGAACACCAGUGGCGAAGGCGGCUAUCUGGUCUGUAACUGACGCUGAGGCUCGAAAGCAUGGGUAGCAAACAGGAUUAGAUACCCUGGUAGUCCAUGCCGUAAACGAUGAAUGCUAGGUGUUGGAAGGUUUCCGCCUUUCAGUGCCGCAGCUAACGCAUUAAGCAUUCCGCCUGGGGAGUACGACCGCAAGGUUGAAACUCAAAGGAAUUGACGGGGACCCGCACAAGCGGUGGAGCAUGUGGUUUAAUUCGAUGCUACGCGAAGAACCUUACCAGGACUUGACAUCUUCUGCCAAUCUAAGAGAUUAGACGUUCCCUUCGGGGACAGAAUGACAGGUGGUGCAUGGUUGUCGUCAGCUCGUGUCGUGAGAUGUUGGGUUAAGUCCCGCAACGAGCGCAACCCUUGUCUUUAGUUGCCAGCAUUAAGUUGGGCACUCUAGAGAGACUGCCGGUGAUAAACCGGAGGAAGGUGGGGAUGACGUCAAAUCAUCAUGCCCCUUAUGUCCUGGGCUACACACGUGCUACAAUGGGCGAUACAACGAGUUGCAAAACCGCGAGGUCAAGCUAAUCUCUUAAAGUCGUUCUCAGUUCGGAUUGCAGUCUGCAACUCGACUGCAUGAAGUUGGAAUCGCUAGUAAUCGUGGAU